GCCGCCGUAGCUCAGUUGGUAGAGCACGCGCCUUUUAAGCGCAGGGUCCCCGGUUCGAGCCCGGGCGGCGGUA
rnacentral:tRNA from 1 species